AGUGAACAUUUAGCAUUGAUUUAAUAGUUUUGGGCAUUGAAAGUGAUGUCUUGGUAACUCAGUGCAUUCGUUUGAUGGGCAGUCACAACAAGAUACCACCCAAACUUAUUAACAGCAGAACUUUGAACAACAGAAAUUUAUUUUUUCACAGUUCUGGAGGCUAGAAGUCCAGGAUCGAGGUGUUAGCAGGGUGGGUUUAUUCUGAGGCCUCUCUCCUUGGUUUUUCUUGUGUUUCCACAUUGUUCUCCCUUCGUACCUGUUUAUAUCUCAAUUUCCUUUUUUUUAUAAGGACACUGGUCAUAAUGAAGUAGAGCCCAUCUACUCAUAAUGAUCUCAUUUCAAGUGCCUUUUUAAGGCCCUAUCUCCAAACACAAUCACAUUCUGAGGUACUUGGGGUUGGCAUUUUAACACAUAAAUUUGGAGGGGACAUAAUUCACCCUAUAACACUCAGAUACUUGUGUUUGGACCUAGCAUGAAGUUACCGACUAGUCAUUCCACACACCCACAUUUAUAUGCUUUCAAUACUUUCAUUGCUGUUUUCAGACGUGCUAAUCUUCCUUCUCGGAGAAGGCAAUGGAAACCCACUCCAGUGUUCUUGCCUGGAGAAUCCCAGGGACGGUGGAGCCUGGUGGGCUACCGUCUAUGGGGUCGCACAGAGUCGGACACGACGGAAGCGACUUAGAAGCAGCAGUCUUCCUUCUAGUUCUGAAAGCAUGUCCAACCCCUGCUCUCCUUGUUUCUUUUUUGUUUUCUUUUUUAAGUUUUACUCUUUAGAAGAUGUUUCUCUCUAUCUCUCUUUUUUUUCCCUAUGUAUUUCUUUGGUUGCUUCUGGUCUUCCUUGAAUCACUCAGGUUCUCUGUUGCUUCGCGCGGGAUCUCCGUUGCUUCGCGCGGGAUCUCCGUUGCUUCGCGCGGGAUCUCCGUUGCUUCGCGCGGGAUCUCCGUUGCUUCGCGCGGGAUCUCCGUUGCUUCGCGCGGGAUCUUUCCUUGUGGCACACAGGAUGUUUGGUGUGGCGUAGGGGCUCAGUAGUUUGUGGUGCGCAGACCCCAGAACACGUGGGCUUCAGUAGCUGCAGUAGGUGACUAUAUCUCUGAUAACUCCAAAGUCAUAGGAUUUAUCAUAGGGACCAUUGGAAUCGCACUUCCGACCAGGGAAGGAAGCGGUUUUUCCCUGCGUUGCAAGGCAUAUUAACCACUGGACCACCAGAAAAGUUCUUCUCCUCAGGUCUUUGCACUUGCCCUUGCCUGUUGCAGAUACUUGUUCAACUGCAGGUGUUCCUGAUAGUCUUUGGCUGGUCCAUUCUCUCGGUGAUUACUGUCUGUCUCCUCCAGGAGGGGAUAAACUAUUUGUGGAAAAGAAGCAACCCACUUAAAACAUCUGAGCCCCAAUUUAAAGAUCUUUUAGAUACUGGAAAAGCAGUGGUGGUGUUUGAACUCUGCUCUGGGAAGAUCCCACAUUCUACGAAGAAUCGAAGCCUGUGUGCCGCAGCUAUUGAGUCUGUGCUCUGGAGACCAGGAGCCUCAACUACUGAAGCCUGUGCACCACAGGGCCUGGGCUGGACAACAAGAAAGAAGCCCCGCACUGAGAAGAAUCACAACUGGAGAGUCGCCCCUCCUCAGCACAACUAGAGAAAAGCCCAAGCAGCAACAAAGACCCAGCAUAGUCAAAAAUAAAUAAACAAAGUCAUUUUUAAAAAGCA